UUAAAAAUUUUCUCAUAUUUCAUUUUUUUUUUUUGACGUCUAGAUUUAUUAUUUAUUGCAAAUUAUGAGAACUGUUACAUAGACGAUUCUACAACGGACAAUUCCUUCCGACCCUUAUUAGAUCCACGACAGACGAUACUUCCUUCUCCAUGCUCUUGACGCAUACCUUCAAUGAUCCAUGACCUGACGACACUUCUCUCUCGGCGUAGAAUCCUGGCGAACGGCUAUAAUUGUACUUCGCUGGAGAUCUCCUGCACACUUGCCUCCUUUAAUCUGCAAAUUUAUUAAUAAAUCGCAAUAUCUGGGACUCGAACCCCAGGUCUCUUAGUGUAGAAGCAUUAAUUAACCCUUG
rnacentral:lncRNA from 1 species